GUAGGGAAUCUUCCACAAUGGACGCAAGUCUGAUGGAGCAACGCCGCGUGAGUGAAGAAGGGUUUCGGCUCGUAAAGCUCUGUUGGUAGUGAAGAAAGAUAGAGGUAGUAACUGGCCUUUAUUUGACGGUAAUUACUUAGAAAGUCACGGCUAACUACGUGCCAG
rnacentral:rRNA from 1 species